CCACUUAAAAAGUGGUAUUGGGCAGCAAGUAGGUCUUAUACCGCAUCAGGGUUCAAUUUUGCAAUGUUCAAAGUUAAAGAAUUGAAUCUAAAUGCGUAUAAUUGGCUUCUCAAAAUACCUUCUUCCUUAUGGUCUAGACAUGCCUAUGAUAGAAAGCUGAAAAAUGAACAUGUUACAAAUAACAUAUCAGAGUCUUUCAAUAAUUGGAUAGGUAAGUUUAGAUCAAUGGCCUUUAUGCAUUUGCUGGAUGAAAUUAGGUCAAAACUGAUGGGUAGAAUCACAAAAAGGACUGCUAAGGGUAAAAAAUGGCGGGGUCAGUUUGUGCAAGAUGUAGUAGGUAAGUUGAACAAAGCACAAGAAGAGUCUAGGCAGUGUUCUUCAGUUGUGGCUGGG
rnacentral:lncRNA from 1 species